AUCUGAACUCGGUACCUCCGGCACUCUAUGUACCACUAUUUGAACCCUUGUUAACUAUCAACAUGUCAUGGGAAAAAAACAUUCAUGGGCAGUACUUUGGCCAAAAGACUAAGAUAAUUAUAAGCCCUAACUAUUCCUUGUUUGCCUAGUCCCAUUCGUUUAUUACUUUGUGCUCCAUGUAUUUCGUCUGUUGGUUCGUCUGAUUAAAAACCACCAAACCCCC